GUGGGUGGCUGCGAAUUAGCCAUGCAUGUCUAGUACAGACUUUCACAUAGUGAAACCGCAAUGGCUCAUUAAAUCAGCUAAGAUUUCUUAGAUCGUACACUCCUACUUGGAUAACUGUGGUAAACCUAAAGCAAAAACAGAACGUUCAGCUUCAACCUUCUGAAGGGAGAGCGCUUUAAUUAAAUAAGAUCAAACCGGCCUCGGGCCCCCCUGGGGGAAGACCAAAAUAUUUGGGGGGACGGUGGGCCCGCCCCGGCAACAAUCUUUCGGUGUCUGCCCUAACAAUUUUCGAGGGACAGAUAUGCAUAUCAUGGUUGUAACGGGGAAGGAGAACACGGGUCGAUUCGGAAGAGAGAGCAUGAAAAAUAGAUACCACUCAAAGGAAGGAGAUACGGGCAAUUUCCCCCUCCGGGACGAGGAGGUGAUUUUAAUAUAUUAAACGGCAUCUCUGGAGGGCCCGAAAAUGAAUGAGCCAGUGACAUCCUAAAAGGGGGAUUUUUUUGGAGGGGGCCUUCUGGUCGCCAAAACCCCGCCUUAAUUUCUCCGCUCCCAUAUGGGAAAAAAAAAAAAGGGGUUAAAUCCCAAACCCCCCCAAAAAUUUGAUAAAGGGGGGGAUCCCCCA
rnacentral:rRNA from 1 species